CAAUAGCGUAUAUUAAAGUUGUUGCGGUAAAAAAGCUCGUAGUUGGAUUUCUGUUGAGAGCGACCGGUCCAUACCAUGUAUGUGUAUCUGGCUUGCUCUCGGCAUCCUCUCGAUAGACGUUACUGCGCUUGAUUGCGUGGUGCGGAUCUCGGGACUUUUACUUUGAGGAAAUUAGAGUGUUCACGGCAGGCUUUCGCCAGAAUACAUUAGCAUGGAAUAAUACUAUAGGAUCUUGGUUCUAUUUUGUUGGUUUCUAGAAUUGAGAUAAUGAUUAAUAGGGACAAUUGGGGGCAUUCGUAUCAACACGUCAGAGGUGGAAUUCUUGGAUUGUGUUGCGACGAACUACUGCGAAAGCAUUUGCCAAGGAUGUUUUCAUUGA
rnacentral:rRNA from 1 species